rnacentral:tRNA from 2 species
GGGGGCGUGGCUCAGGUGGUAGAGCGAUGCGUUCGCAACGCAUAGGUCAGGGGUUCGAGUCCCCUCGUCUCCACCA